CUGGGACAUGGCAGGGUGAGGCCUGGAGUAUGGCAAAGUGAGGCCUGGAGUAUGGCAGGGUGAGGCCUGGGACAUGGCAGGGUGAGGCCUGGAACAUGGCAGAGUGAGGCCUGGAGUAUGGCAAGGUGAGGCCUGGAACAUGGCAGGGUGAGGCCUGGGACAUGGCAGGGUGAGGCCUGGAGUAUGGUACGGCUCAGCCUGGAGUAUGGCAAAG